AGAUUUGUACCUUUCUGAGAAAUGGAGCCACUCAGGACUGGGAUGCCCCCCAGGAAGUUCCCUAUGCCUACAAGGGCAAUGAGUGGGUUGGCUAUGAUAAUAUCAAGAGCUUCAGUGUCAAGGCUCAGUGGCUUAAGCAGAACAACUUUGGUGGUGCCAUGAUCUGGGCCAUUGACCUUGACGACUUCACUGGCUCUUUCUGUGACCAGGGAAAAUUCCCUCUGACUUCUACUUUGAAUAAAGCCCUUGAUAUACCCACAGCAGGUUGCACAGCCCCUGACUUGCCUUCUGAACCAGUAACUACUCCUCCAGGAAGUGGGAGUGGUGGUGGAAGCUCUGGUGGAGGUUCUGAAGGCAGUGGAUUCUGUGCUGGCAAAGCAGAUGGCCUCUACCCUGUGGCAGAUGACAGAAAUGCUUUCUGGCACUGCAUCAAUGGAAUCACAUAUCAGCAGCAUUGUCAGGCAGGGUUAGUUUUUGAUACCAGCUGUAAUUGCUGCAACUGGCCAUGAAACUAAUGUUCUUCACGAAAUUUCUGCCCUCUCCCUUAAUCCUCACCAAAGGUAGCUUGCUUCCAUUUAAAGUUAUGCAAUAAAAUUGAUAGC
rnacentral:lncRNA from 1 species